UACGAAGGGGGCUAGCGUUGCUCGGAAUUACUGGGCGUAAAGGGCGCGUAGGCGGAUAGUUUAGUCAGAGGUAAAAGCCCAGGGCUCAACCUUGGAACUGCCUUUGAUACUGGCUAUCUUGAGUUCGGGAGAGGUGAGUGGAAUGCCGAGUGUAGAGGUGAAAUUCGUAGAUAUUCGGCGGAACACCAGUGGCGAAGGCGACUCACUGGCCCGAUACUGACGCUGAGGCGCGAAAGCUAGGGAGCGAACGGGAUUAGAACCCAGUAC
rnacentral:rRNA from 1 species